GCGGAAGUCAUGGGCCCCAUAGAUAAGCAGAGGGAUCAAUGGGGCUCUAUGUGGUGCCCAUAGGGAUCAGUGGGGCUCUAGGGCGUGUUCAUAGGGAUCAAUGGGGAUCAAUGGGGUGCCCAUAGGGAUCAAUGGGGCUCUAUGGGGUGCCCAUAGAGAUCAAUGGGGUGCCCAUAGGGAUCAAUGGGGUGCCCAUAGGGAUCAAUGGGGCUCUAUGGGGUGCCCUUAGGGAUCAAUGGGGCUCUAUGGGGUGCCCAUAGGAAUCAAUGGGGUGCCCAUAGGGAUCAAUGGGGCACCCACAGAGAUUAAUGGGGUUCUAAAGGGUGCCCAUAGGGAUCAGUGGGGCUCUAUGGGGUGCCCAUAGGGAUCAAUGGGGCUCUAUGGUGUGCCCAUAGAGAUCAAUGGGGUGGCCAUAGGGAUCAAUGGGGGUCUAUA